rnacentral:rRNA from 1 species
ACGGGUGCGUAACACGUGGGCAAUCUGCCCUCGGAUGGGGGAUAACUCGUCGAAAGGCGAGCUAAUACCGCAUGACAUUCCGGAGACUACGGUCACUGGAUUCAAAGGCCGCAAGGCCGUCUGAGGAGGAGCCCGCGCCCGAUUAGCUAGUUGGUGAGGUAACGGCUCACCAAGGCUUUGAUCGGUAGCCGGUCUGAGAGGAUGGCCGGCCACACUGGAACUGAGACACGGUCCAGACUCCUACGGGAGGCAGCAGUGGGGAAUAUUGCGCAAUGGGCGAAAGCCUGACGCAGCGACGCCGCGUGGGGGAUGAAGCUUUUCGGAGUGUAAACCCCUUUCGACCCGGACGAAUGACCCGCAAGGGUUUGACGGUACGGGUAUAAGAAGCCCCGGCUAACUACGUGCCAGCAGCCGCGG